rnacentral:rRNA from 1 species
UAAGGAAUAUUGGUCAAUGGACGCAAGUCUGAACCAGCCAUGCCGCGUGGAGGAUGAAGGCCCUCUGGGUUGUAAACUUCUUUUCUUUGGGACGAAACCCCUAUUUCUAUGGGGACUGACGGUACCAGAGGAAUAAGCACCGGCUAACUCCGUGCCAGCAGCCGCGGUAAUACGGAGGGUGCAAGCGUUAUCCGGAUUCACUGGGUUUAAAGGGAGCGUAGGUGGGCUUGUAAGUCAGUGGUGAAAUCUCUGGGCUUAACCCGGAAACUGCCAUUGAUACUAUAGGUCUUGAAUUCUCUGGAGGUAAGCGGAAUAUGUCAUGUAGCGGUGAAAUGCUUAGAUAUGACAUAGAACACCCAUUGCGAAGGCAGCUUACUACGGAGACAUUGACACUGAGGCUCGAAAGCGUGGGGAUCAAACAGGAUUAGAUACCCUGGUAGUCCACGCCCUAAACGAUGAUUACUCGACAUUAGCGAUAUUACUGUUAGUGUCUAAG